GUGGGGAAUAUUGGACAAUGGGCGCAAGCCUGAUCCAGCCAUGCCGCGUGAGUGAUGAAGGCCCUAGGGUUGUAAAGCUCUUUCACCGGUGAAGAUAAUGACGGUAACCGGAGAAGAAGCCCCGGCUAACUUCGUGCCAGCAGCCGCGGUAAUACGAAGGGGGCUAGCGUCGUUCGGAAUUACUGGGCGUAAAGCGCACGUAGGCGGACAUUUAAGUCAGGGGUGAAAUCCCAGAGCUCAACUCUGGAACUGCCUUUGAUACUGGGUGUCUUGAGUAUGGAAGAGGUAAGUGGAAUUCCGAGUGUAGAGGUGAAAUUCGUAGAUAUUCGGAGGAACACCAGUGGCGAAGGCGGCUUACUGGUCCAUUACUGACGCUGAGGUGCGAAAGCGUGGGGAGCAAACAGGAUUAGAUACCCUUGUAGUCC
rnacentral:rRNA from 1 species